rnacentral:rRNA from 1 species
AACGAACGCUGGCGGCAUGCCUAACACAUGCCAGUCGAACGAGACCUUCGGGUCUAGUGGCGCACGGGUGCGUAACGCGUGGGAACCUGCCCUUAGGUUCGGAAUAACUCCCCGAAAGGGGUGCUAAUACCGGAUAAUGUCUUCGGACCAAAGAUUUAUCGCCUUUGGAUGGGCCCGCGUUGGAUUAGCUAGUUGGUAGGGUAAAAGCCUACCAAGGCGGCGAUCCAUAGCUGGUCUGAGAGGAUGAUCAGCCACACUGGGACUGAGACACGGCCCAGACUCCUACGGGAGGCAGCAGUGGGGAAUAUUGGACAAUGGGCGAAAGCCUGAUCCAGCAAUGCCGCGUGAGUGAUGAAGGCCUUAGGGUUGUAAAGCUCUUUUACCCGGGAUGAUAAUGACAGUACCGGGAGAAUAAGCGCCGGCUAACUCCGUG